UGGGGAAUAUUGCACAAUGGGGGGAACCCUGAUGCAGCCAUGCCGCGUGAAUGAAGAAGGCCUUCGGGUUGUAAAGUUCUUUCGGUGACGAGGAAGGUUGGUAGGUUAAUAGCCUAUCAAAUUGACGUUAAUCACAGAAGAAGCACCGGCUAACUCCGUGCCAGCAGCCGCGGUAAUACGGGGGGUGCGAGCGUUAAUCGGAAUAACUGGGCGUAAAGGGCACGCAGGCGGUGACUUAAGUGAGAUGUGAAAGCCCCGAGCUUAACUUGGGAAUUGCAUUUCAUACUGGGUCGCUAGAGUACUUUAGGGAGGGGUAGAAUUCCACGUGUAGCGGUGAAAUGCGUAGAGAUGUGGAGGAAUACCGAAGGCGAAGGCAGCCCCUUGGGAAUGUACUGACGCUCAUGUGCGAAAGCGUGGGGAGCAAACAGGAUUAGAUACCCUGGUAGUCCACGCUGUAAACGCUGUCGAUUUGGGGAUUGGGCCUUGAGCUUGGUGCCCGAAGCUAACGUGAUAAAUCGACCGCCUGGGGAGUACGGCCGCAAGGUUA
rnacentral:rRNA from 1 species